rnacentral:rRNA from 1 species
ACGACUCUCGGCAACGGAUAUCUCGGCUCUCGCAUCGAUGAAGAACGCAGCGAAAUGCGAUACUUGGUGUGAAUUGCAGAAUCCCGUGUACCAUCGAGUCUUUGAACGCAAGUUGCGCCCGAAGCCAUUASGCCGAGGGCACGUCUGCCUGGGCGUCACG